rnacentral:rRNA from 1 species
CGGGAAUUUUGGGCAAUGGGCGAAAGCCUGACCCAGCAACGCCGCGUGAGGGAUGAAGUAUUUCGGUAUGUAAACCUCGAAAGAAUGGGAAGAAUAAAUGACGGUACCAUUUAUAAGCUCCGGCUAACUACGUGCCAGCAGCCGCGGUAAUACGUAGGGAGCAAGCGUUGUUCGGAUUUACUGGGCGUAAAGGGCGCGUAGGCGGCGCGGUAAGUCACUUGUGAAAUCUCUGAGCUUAACUCAGAACGGCCAAGUGAUACUGCUGUGCUAGAGUGCGGAAGAGGCAACCGGAAUUCUUGGUGUAGCGGUGAAAUGCGUAGAUAUCAAGAGGAACACCUGAGGCGUAGGCGGGUUGCUGGGCCGACACUGACGCUGAUGCGCGAAAGCCAGGGGAGCAAACG